AGUGAACGCUGGCGGUAUGCCUAAUACAUGCAAGUCGAACGGCCGCACAGUAAGAUUGCUCCUCUACGGUUAGCGACGGACGGACGGGUAACGCAUAGAUCGGCUUCUUCUUAGUCUGGGGUGACAUCGGAAGAAAACUGACGCUACUAGCUCAUACGUUCUACGGCCUGAAUCAGUGGAGCUUCGCACUUUUCGUGACAGUUAGAGCCGGUGUCGGAUUAGCUAGUUGGCUUGGUAAAGGCCCACCAAGGCAACGAUACGUAGCUGGUCUGAGAGGAUGAUCAGCCACACUGGAACUGAGACACGGUCCAGACUCCUACGGGAGGCAGCAGUGGGGAAUAUUCGACAAUGGGCGAAAGCCUGACGCAGCCAUACCGCGUGAGUGAAGAAGGUCUUCGGAUUGUAAAGCCCUUUUGUUAGGAAAGAAAAGCAGCAGAUUAAACCCUCCCUGUUCUGACGGUACCCAAAGAAUAAGCACCGGCUAACUUCGUG
rnacentral:rRNA from 1 species